CCCCAUUAGUGGGGAGUGGGCCAGAAUUGGAGAGAAGGAGCCUCCUUAGGCCUCAGGGACCAGGGCCGCCCUGUAAGUCGGGGCCGGUGCUCUGGAGUCCCGGGCACUUUUCAGUGCAGGCAGCGGCUUGAGCUCCCUGUAAGCAGGGGUGCAACCUCUUGCGCGCUGCUUUGCUUUGUGCCCAGCUUCUUUUGCCCAGAGGGCCCGGCUCCCGGCGCGGCGUGGGACUUGGCGGAGGUCGAUGUGAAGCCGUGGGACGACGAGGCAAGAGCGAGCUGGAUGAGAGAGGCAGCUUCGAGGUCAAGAGUGGAACGGCGAGGCAAGAGUGAGCUUGCAGCUGAAGAAGGAGCACGAGAGGCCCUCUGGGCAAAGGGCCUUAGUGGCAUGGCCAGGGCACCUUCAAGGUGCCGCGGCUGAGUUUGCUUGUGCUGGGCGACCUCCCUGUGUGCAGGGCUGGGUCUUUGCUCUGGUUGGCCUUUUGCCGUUGUGCUCCUUUGGCUGCCUGGAGAGAGGGGCAACCCUGUAAGGAGGGUGAGAGCCCCUGUCUCCGCACCUGAGGGGGGAAACGGAGCUCCCCGAGCCCCCAGCCCGGCCGCCCUGUAAGCAGGGCAGGGCUUUUCCCCAGCUGUGGCAGCUUUGUGCCUGCUGCUGGCCCCUGGCCAGCGUGACCCCCUGUAGUCGGGGCGCGUCACAGCCUUUGUUUGUCCCUGAAGCAGCCCUGAAACGCCUCAGCGCGUCGAGGCCCCUGUGCCCUCCCCUCAGUGUAGUGCGGUGCAGGUGCGAUGCUUUUGCCUCCCACUGAGCGGUGGGGAUGGCUCGCUUGAGCCCUUUGGCUGCACGGAACUCGCUCCCUCUUCUGGGACUGUCUUGCCCUCCCUCCCUCCCCAGUGUUCCCCUUAGUUGGUGUGAGUGAAGAUGUGGGUUUGGGCUUUAGGCUCCCUUUAGAGAUAGAGCAGUGUAGCUUAGACUUCCCGGGAGGGAAAGAGGAGUUCUGUGCAGCCACAAGCCGGUCCCCAAAAUGCUUGUGUGGAGCAAGUGUCCGGCCUUGCCCCCACUCUCUGAGGAGGGUACGAAGCCGCUUAGCGGUAGCGUGGGCAGCGUGACCCGCCUGUAGCCAGGGCCUGGGUCUGGGCCUACGGUGCCCUUUGUGGUGGUGAAGUGGCAGCGUGCCGCCCUGUAGUCGGGGCAUGUGCGAAGAGCUUGCUUGUCCCUUUGUCCCCAGGAGCAGCCCCUGUGCCCUGUAAGCAGGGCUGUGGAGGCUGCUUUAGCCAGGUGACAGGAACGACUGCUCCCAGGCCCUUGGCAGGGUGCAGGUUGAAGAAGUGCUGGUGCCACCUUGCUGGCGGCCUGGUUGCGGAGGCUGGAGGGGCUCCUGCAGACGGCUGUGUUGCCGUGCUGCGCUGCGGCCGGGCUGCGGCCGGCCCCUAAGUGGGGCGCAGGCCGGAGCCCGUGCUCCGUGGUGCUUGUUGGGGGGUGCCGGGCAGCGGGGGGCGGCCCCGUAAGUGGGGUUGUGUGCGCCCCCUGGUCUCGGCGGGCGGUUGGAGGGACCCCCUGUAAUCAGGCGGGUAUCCCUGGCCGCGGCCUUUCAGAGGCGCGGGGCCAGGAGUGGUGGGGCCGGGCGUGUGCCCUCCCUGUCGUUGGGGCUGGGCUCCCGGCCCCUGGGGCCCUUGGGUCCCUUGGCCUUUAGGCCAGGAGUUGGGCUGCCUGACUGUAUGUGCUUCCUGUUGCCGUGGGGAAAGGCCGAGCUCCGUGGCUCCCUGGGUGUGGACCGGCCUGUAAGCAGGCUGUGGGUCUGGGAGCCUUUGUGCUCCCUUCAGCUGGCAGCCUGCGUUGGGCACCCUCACCCCGUUAGUGGGGAGUGGGCCAGAAUUGGAGAGAAGGAGCCUCCUUAGGCCUCAGGGACCAGGGCCGCCCUGUAAGUCGGGGCCGGUGCUCUGGAGUCCCGGGCACUUUUCAGUGCAGGCAGCGGCUUGAGCUCCCUGUAAGCAGGGGUGCAACCUCUUGCGCGCUGCUUUGCUUUGUGCCCAGCUUCUUUUGCCCAGAGGGCCCGGCUCCCGGCGCGGCGUGGGACUUGGCGGAGGUCGAUGUGGAUCGCGCUGGACUUUCCUGUCAUCUCGUCCAGAUUCAUACGAAUACCUUUUUAGGCAUAGGAUAAUGCAGCACCAAUCAUUUGCAUAUUCUGAAUUUCAAUCUGAAACAUGGAGUGUGUAGGGGAAUGAUUUGUGCGUUCUGCAUGGAAAGAAUUAAUGUAUUGCUUUCUGUAAAAUGUUUUAGCUUCUAUAAUUUCUUUGUUUUCAGAUGAUUUCAGUGAGUGUAACCAAUUGGGCAGAAACCAUCAGAGGAAAUUGUACUAUACAAUGAAAAAUGAGUGUUCCCGAGUUGUAGCCUAUUCCAGAACACACUCAGACUAAUUCUAUUUAAACUACAUCUUCAUCCCUGAGCCCACUCAGGAGUGUGUGAGCCAUAUG